AAUCUGGCGCCUUCGGCGUCCGAAUCUCGAGAAGUGUUUUCCGUGAUAGACCGCAACAAGUCUCUUGGAACAGAGCGUCAUAGUGGUGAGAACCCAGUACACGAUGCGGAUGCCUAUUACUUUGUGAUACACUUUCGAAGAGUCGAGUUGUUUGGGAAUGCAGCUCAAAUUGGGUGGUAAAUUCCAUCUAAAGCUAAAUAUUGGCGAGAGACCGAUAGCGAACAAGUACCGUGAGGGAAAGAUGAAAAGCACUUUGGAAAGAGAGUUAACAGUACGUGAAAUUGUUGGAAGGGAAACACAUGCAGUGAUACUUGCUAUUCGGGGCAACUCGAUUGGCAGGCCCGCAUCAGUUUUUCGGGGCGGAAAAUCAUAGAGAGAAGGUAGCAGUCUCGGCUGUGUUAUAGCUCUUUAUUGGAUUCGCCCUGGGGGACUGAGGAACGCAGCGUGCUUUUUGCAUGAGCUUCGGCUUAUCCACGCUUAGGAUGCGGGUUUAUGGCUGUAUAUGACCCGUCUGAAACAGGGGCCUGGGGUUCUUUAUGAAAGGAUGGAACCACUUUUACUCAUUUGGC
rnacentral:rRNA from 1 species